AAAGUAUCAGGGGUGGCAGAGUGGAGGAGGAGGCAUCUGAGCUAGCUCUAGACUCUGAAACAUGACCGCUCUGGAGUAGUUCCUCCAUCCACAAAUUAUGCAGUCGAGUUUCCUCGAAUUUGGGGUCAAUACACACAGAGUGCAAUGGAUGAACCUCGCUCUGGAGAAAUCACCUGCAUAAUCAUGGUAUUUCCCCUUCCAGGAUUCUGUGCAAUGACAAGACCAAGACUGAGCCACAUGUGGUGUUGGAUGCUCCCAUGUAAGGGCAUGGCGGGGGCCAGAAGCUGAUUCCACAACAGGCCAGACAAAUCCAAAAUGAUUUAUACAGAAGCAGUCUUCCAAAUUCUGAAACCUGAUGCCCAUCACAUACUUUGGGCUGAGAAAAGAAAAUCAAACAUUUGUUUGAUGCAGCCUCCCUCCCUCAGCCUUCAAGCAGGCUGAUCCAGACUUUGACCUUGCUGCCGCUAAGAAGGCGAUUACCUAGGGUAGAGCCUUCUGACCUUGAUGGCUCUAUUUGCUCUUCUCCUUGACUCUGCUUCCAGCUGAAAGGUCCCUGAGACAGUCCAAAGACACACCCUGUAGAUCGCCUAAGGGCUGGCUCCAGGUACCAAGAAUGGGUUGGCAGGGGAUGGGCCUUCCCCCUUAUAAGCACACUCUCUUAAUAAACUCGGGGGCCUUGAACAGAAA
rnacentral:lncRNA from 1 species